UCCCUGGAAGUCCAGUGGUUAGGACUCUGUGCUUCCACUACAGGGGGUCUGGGUUCGAUCCCUGGCUGGGGAA
rnacentral:tRNA from 1 species